rnacentral:rRNA from 1 species
CAGCCGCCGCGGUAAUACGUAGGGGGCGAGCGUUGUCCGGACUUAUUGGGCGUAAAGCGCGCGCAGGCGGUCCCUUAAGUCUGAUGUGAAAGCCCACGGCUCAACCGUGGAGGGUCAUUGGAAACUGGGGGACUUGAGUGCAGAAGAGGAGAGCGGAAUUCCACGUGUAGCGGUGAAAUGCGUAGAGAUGUGGAGGAACACCAGUGGCGAAGGCGGCUCUCUGGUCUGUAACUGACGCUGAGGCGCGAAAGCGUGGGGAGCAAACAGGAUUAGAUACCCUGGUAGUCCACGCCGUAAACGAUGAGUGCUAAGUGUUAGAGGGGUUAAACCCUUUAGUGCUGGAGCUAACGCGUUAAGCACUCCGCCUGGGGAGUACGGCCGCAAGGCUGAAACUUAAAGGAAUUGGCGGG